UGAUGGUAAUGUUCUUUGCAAAUGUUACAUGAAAGAGCUUAAUUACACUGUUUUAGGAGUGGCUUCGGAGAGAUGUCAUCCCCUGUAAUCCGGGAGGCAGAAGUGACACGGACUGCGCGGAAACAGAGUGCUCAAAAAAGAGUUUUAAUUCGGGCCUCCCAAGAUGACAAUUUUGGUAAUACUACACCAAGAAACCAGAUUAUCCCUCGAACUCCCAGCUCAUUUCGACAGCCUUUUGCUUCACUGAAUCGAAGCUUACUAAGGCAUC